UUUGUAUCAGACAUUUAUAUUGUAAAGACUUUUCACUCCAUAUUGAUUAAUUCCAGAUAAUAAUAUAUCAUGAAAGUACACAUUUAUACAUUUGCCAUAGUUUUACUUGCUGGCUUUUUGGACAUGGACACUUUUUGUGUAGAUGCCGCUCACAAUGAAAACUUAGUACCAUGCGAGAUCGACUCUGAUUGCGAAACCCUCUGUGAUGGAAGAUGUAGUCACCCAUAUUUGCCUAUCUGCGCUGAUCACGUAUGCUGGUGUGCUCCACUCCACCCCUAAGAUUAAGCUGGUCUUAAUAAUUACAUACUUGCUUAACAUGAUUUUAAUGUGUAUUUACUUAUUUACUAAGAUAACAACCCUCACUAUUGCGUUAUAGAUAGUCGAUAAUAUAAUAUAAUAUAUAUUGUUUCAUGUAA